GUGAAUCAUCAAAUUUUUGAACGCAAAUUGCACUCUCCUCUGUGAGUAUACCUGUUUGAGGGUCAGCAUAUAAAAAUCGACAUCGUUGCUGUUUCGCGGUGGCGUACGUCGGACAUUGGGUCAUCUUAAAUCCUUUUGGUUUUUAAGCGACUUAACAUUUUCUUUUUGGUUCCAUGAACGUUUCUAAGAUUUAUUUCUUUACACGUUUAAGGUAUCGAUUUUUAUUAGACGUGACCAUCAUAUCGGAUUGCGUCAAUAAGCCUUCAUUAACUGACCU
rnacentral:misc_RNA from 1 species